UACGGAGGGGGCUAGCGUUGUUCGGAAUUAUUGGGCGUAAAGCGCACGUAGGCGGCAUUGCAAGUCGGAUGUGAAAUCUUAUGGCUUAACCAUAAAAGUGCAUCCGAAACUGCAGUGCUUGAGUACUUAAGAGGAUCGCGGAAUUCCCGGUGUAGAGGUGAAAUUCGUAGAUAUCGGGAGGAACACCAGUGGCGAAGGCGGCGAUCUGGGAAGAUACUGACGCUGAGG
rnacentral:rRNA from 1 species